rnacentral:rRNA from 1 species
UUCGCAAUGCCCGAAAGGGUGACGAAGCGACGCCGCGUGUGGGAAGAAGGCCUUCGGGUUGUAAACCACUGUCGGGAGUUAAGAAAUACAAGGAUAUUAAUAGUGUCUUUGUUUGACUAAGGCUCCGGAGGAAGCCACGGCUAACUCUGUGCCAGCAGCCGCGGUAAUACAAAGGCGGCAAGCGUUGUUCGGAAUUAUUGGGCGUAAAGAGCACGUAGGCGGCUAUGUAAGUCGGUUGUGAAAGCCUUCCGCUCAACGGAAGAACAGCAUCCGAUACUACAUGGCUUGAGUGCGGGAGGGGAGAGUGGAACUUCUGGUGGAGCGGUGAAAUGCGUAGAUAUCAGAAGGAACGCCGGCGGCGAAAGCGGCUCUCUGGCCCAUAACUGACGCUGAGUGUGCGAAAGCUAGGGGAGCAAACGGGAUUAGAUACCCCGGUAGUCCUAGCCGUAAACGAUGGGCACUAAGUAGAGGGGUUUUA